AAAUCUGCUACUUCAGAAAGUGGUUUGAGCAUCUGCCUCAGAUGCAGGAGGUUGCAGGUUCAAACCCUGGCAGAGUUG